AAUAGCACAAUAAUGGUAGAAUCUAGUCAUGAAAAUAAUAUUGAUAAUGAGGAGGAUAAUAAUGAUGAUAGCAGUUUAUUUCAAAAACAGUAAAAGGUGAAAACAUAAACAGUGAAAGAAAUGGAAUACGAAGAAAAUCAGAAAUAAAACUUGUUUAUUGUGUUUCUGUACAACAACCAACUUCUCAUCGGUUUAUCCAGUCUGUUUGGUUUUUUACCGUAAACAUGUUUCAAUUUGCCUUUAUUAGGUCAGCACCACAAGAAAAACGUAACCGAAACAGAAAGAAAAAAAAAUUGAAAAAAAAGAAAGAAAAAAAAAUAAGAAGACAAAAAUAAUAAUAAAUUUAAAAAUUUUUAAAACACCACAACAAGAAAAAAGAGGAAAAAAGGCAAGCAAAAAACACAAACAGAAACAACGACAACAGCAAGCAACCAAAGGAUAACCAAAAAAUCAACAAGAAACAAACAAUCGCCACUGUGAGCCACGAGCACGUUUUGGGAUAAAAAAGGAUGACCGACUCAGCCGACUGCGACUCGUUUGUGGUCGAAGGGAGGCAAACAAAUGCCUGGCGAGGAGCAGCGACGACGAGCGCAAUAGCGGCCCUUCACUUUUUUUCCACGAGGGUCGCCCCCCUUCCCGUAGACACGCAAUAGGUGUGAGAGGGUGAAAAUAGUGGCAUUUUCCCUCGAAAACGUGAACCACAAAGGGUACGCAGUGAACACCGGCCCUAGGUGCAAUGACGCAACCCAGCAAAACGGCUGGUCCAGACUGGGAUCGAAUUAUCCAACGGCCGUGUUACGUGGAGCAUGCUAAUAGUGCGGGGCUGGUGAGAAAAGCAGUUGCAGCGCGCUGGUGAGGAAACUUCGCCCAUUUCUCGGCAUCGCUUCUCGGCCUUUUGGCUAAGAUCAAAGUGUAGUAUCUGUUCUUAUCAGCUUAAUAUCUGAUACGUGGCUUCCUAGCCACUACGAUAUUAAACUGAUUUUUGGACACAGGCGAGAUGCCCGGGGCUUGCUCCGCUCUCGCCACGGGUCGGCCCGGUAUUGCAGUCCCUCCGGGAAUGGCCCAAUAUAAGCAAACAAUGUACGAAUGGUUCUCCAAACAAACAGACAAACAAAUCACACACAAGCGCAAAUGUACACAUGAUGUAGAUCUAGAUGUACAACAAUUGUCGCAUGUGUAGCUGCCCGCUCGCUUCAGUGUGUUGUUUAGAUCUAGUAAGCGCACGUGCGAAAACUGAGUAGAGCUCACUCAGCCUGUUCGCCUCACAAUCGAGUGUGCUGUUUCCCCCUUUCAAUUUCCAUUUUACGCCGGGCAGUCAGAGCAAGCGGAGGUCGAGGAGAUCAGAGGGACAAGAAAAUGUGCCUGCUCCCUGUCACGAUGUCAACGUUUCAUUCAUUCAUUCUGUUUUCCAGUAGCAGCAAACAAACAGUAGCAGCAGCAGUAGCAGCAGUAGCAGCAGUAGCAGGUAAGAUCGCGUUAUUGUAAUAGCCUCCCCUGGGGCCGCUUUUUCUUUAUGUGGAAAUAGCAUUUAGAGUUGUGUCCCUUGUCGUAGCGGUGUUGAGAUUUACGUUUCGCCUGCGUUGACUCAAAAAGCACUAUUUUGUCCCACCGGGCGUGUCGCAGCAGCAGUUGUAAACUCACAUCCUGCUUAAGACGUAAAGGACGUCGUGACAAAUUACUUGCUAUGAUUUGGAUAGUGAUUGAAUUGCGUAACAUGGAGAUGAAACCAAGAUCACUACGAGAACGCAGGCGGUGCAGGAUUGCAAAUGAAGACACGUAGCAAACCAUACUUACCUGGCACGGGAGGCACCAUGAUCACGACGGCGGUCCUCCCAGGGCGAGGCCUUUCCAUUGCACUCCGGUUUGGCUGACCCCUGCGAUCACCUCAAAUGCGGGUGACUCGAGUGCGUAAUUUUUACGUAGGGGGGACUGCGUUCGCGCUAUCCCCUGUCAUAAUAACCAUUCAAUGAAAGUUCAGGAAAGGAAGUACAGCACACACAAACACACUUGUACAAGCACAACACGCAGAAACAAACACAGCUCACACAGACACACAAACACACAAACACGCAAACACAGCACACAGAAACAAUAACAGAACGAGCCCGGUGGCCGUAGGCCAGAUUCUAGAUCUACUACUACUACUGUUUGUUCGUCGACAGCGUACUUGGGAUCAUUUCAUUUGAUCCCUUCUGAUCGCCGUUUGAUCUCAAGGACGGCGGUCGUUCUUCUAGCAACAGAUUUCACACCUAUGUGCCAUGUCUCGGAGGUCCGCGAUCUGAGCUGAGCGCACCCUUUGUUGGGAAAUGAAAAUUAAGAUUCCCACUUGGAGAUCUAGACAGAUCAAAGAGGUGGUUGGCAAACAUGAGGAGGGAAGGAUUUUCAGCCCACCAGGAAUACAGUGAUUUGCUCUGCUCACUUCGAUGACAAGUGUUUUGACAGAACAGACUGUUGGAUUGAGACCUGAUGCUGCGCCCACCCUGUUUGAUUUUCCACCCGAUCUCCAGAAGACACCUGUACUGUAAAGCCAAGGCGUCAUGCUGAACGCAGAACCGUGGCUCAGCCAGAAACUACUUCCAGUGCUGAUCAAGAGGAGGCUGGAGAGAGUGUGGGUCCAUCUUCAGUGACGACCACAGUUAUGCGACUGUAUGUUGUAUGUGCUCAUUUUGUAACGAUGUGUAAGCGUGCGUGUGUGAUAUAAGCAAGUAGACGUUGGUGUGUGUGUGUCGCGUGCGUGAAUAUUGUUCAUACAUGCAUUUAUACGUGCUGAAAAACUUGGCGAUACUCGCUGUGGUUCUCAUUGUGUGUGUGUGGCGUGCGUGAAUAUUGUUCGUUCAUGCAUUUAUGUAAGCGCCUAGAGCUGUGUUUACACGGGUGUGGGCGUUCUAGAAAUGAUCUUCAUUAUUAUUAUUAUCUUAAUAUAUAUAUUUAUAUGUAUGGUGUGUUUCACUCUAUUUCUGAUUGUGUGUGUGUGUCACCCCAAGCAAAGCCGGGUGCUCAGCUAGUUUUAUUUAAAUGUAUGUGUAUGUGCUCAUUUUGUAACGAUGUGUUAGUGUGCACGUGUGAUAAGCUAAUAGAUGUGUGUGUGUGUGUGUCGUGUUUGUGAAUAUUGUUCGUACAUGCAUUUAUGCGUGCUGAAAAGCUUGGCGAUACUCGCUGUGGUUCAAUUGAUUGUUAUUUUGUGCAUACCUUCUACAUCAUACUUGUUAUGUUGCUCAUGAUCUCAUUGUGUGGGUGGGUGUGGCUGUGUGUGUGUGAGUGUGUGUCGCGUGCUUGAAUAUUGUUCGUACAUGCAUUGUGACCAUUGUCUUUCUGAAUAAAAAUCUGCUGAAGAUGACAAAGAG
rnacentral:lncRNA from 1 species